GAUGAACGCUGGCGGCGUGCCUAAUACAUGCGAGUCGAGCGAACGGACGAGAAGCUUGCUUUUCUGAUGUUAGCGGCGGACGGGUGAGUAACACGUGGAUAACCUACCUAUAAGACUGGGAUAACUUCGGGAAACCGGAGCUAAUACCGGAUAAUAUUUUGAACCGCAUGGUUCAACAGUGAAAGACGGUCUUGCUGUCACUUAUAGAUGGAUCCGCGCUGCAUUAGCUAGUUGGUAAGGUAACGGCUUACCAAGGCAACGAUGCAUAGCCGACCUGAGAGGGUGAUCGGCCACACUGGAACUGAGACACGGUCCAGACUCCUACGGGAGGCAGCAGUAGGGAAUCUUCCGCAAUGGGCGAAAGCCUGACGGAGCAACGCCGCGUGAGUGAUGAAGGUCUUCGGAUCGUAAAACUCUGUUAUUAGGGAAGAACAUAUGUGUAAGUAACUGUGCACAUCUUGACGGUACCUAAUCAGAAAGCCACGGCCAACUACGUG
rnacentral:rRNA from 1 species